GAUGAACGCUAGCGGCAGGCUUAACACAUGCAAGUCGAGGGGUAGAUUACUUCGGUAAUUGAGACCGGCGCACGGGUGCGUAACGCGUAUACAAUCUACCUUUUACAGAGGGAUAGCCCAGAGAAAUUUGGAUUAAUACCUCAUAGUAUUUUCGAAUCGCAUGAUUUGAUUAUUAAAGUUCCAACGGUAAAAGAUGAGUAUGCGUCCCAUUAGCUAGAUGGUAAGGUAACGGCUUACCAUGGCUACGAUGGGUAGGGGUCCUGAGAGGGAGAUCCCCCACACUGGUACUGAGACACGGACCAGACUCCCACGGGAGGCAGCAGUGAGGAAUAUUGGACAAUGGGCGCAAGCCUGAUCCAGCCAUGCCGCGUGCAGGAAGAAGGUCCUAUGGAUUGUAAACUGCUUUUAUACAGGAAGAAACACACCCUCGUGAGGGUACUUGACGGUACUGUAUGAAUAAGGACCGGCUAACUCCGUGCCAGCAGCCGCGGU
rnacentral:rRNA from 1 species